AACGAACGCUGGCGGCAGGCCUAACACAUGCAAGUCGAGCGAGAUCUUCGGGUCUAGCGGCGGACGGGUGAGUAACGCGUGGGAAUAUGCCUCUUGGUACGGAAUAGCCUCGGGAAACUGGGAGUAAUACCGUAUGUGCCCUUUGGGGGAAAGAUUUAUCGCCAAGAGAUUAGCCCGCGUUGGAUUAGGUAGUUGGUGGGGUAAUGGCCUACCAAGCCGACGAUCCAUAGCUGGUUUGAGAGGAUGAUCAGCCACACUGGGGCUGAGACACGGCCCAGACUCCUACGGGAGGCAGCAGUGGGGAAUCUCAGACAAUGGGGGCAACCCUGAUCUAGCCAUGCCGCGUGAGUGAUGAAGGCCUUAGGGUUGUAAAGCUCUUUCAGCUGGGAAGAUAAUGACGGUACCAGCAGAAGAAGCCCCGGCUAACUCCGUG
rnacentral:rRNA from 1 species